GUCUAUGGCCAUACCACCCUGAAGGUUCCCGAUCUCGUCUGAUCUGGGAAGCUGAGCAGGAUCGGGCCUGGCUAGUACUUGGAUGGGGGGAAAGGCCUGAGCCUGGUUA
rnacentral:rRNA from 1 species